rnacentral:rRNA from 1 species
GACGAACGCUGGCGGCGUGCUUAACACAUGCAAGUCGAACGAUGAAGCCCAGCUUGCUGGGUGGAUUAGUGGCGAACGGGUGAGUAAUACGUGAGUAACCUGCCUUUAACUCUGGGAUAAGCCUUGGAAACGAGGUCUAAUACCGGAUACGACCAGUUCCCGCAUGGGAUGCUGGUGGAAAGGGAUAUGUACUGGUUUUAGAUGGGCUCACGGCCUAUCAGCUUGUUGGUGGGGUAAUGGCUCACCAAGGCGACGACGGGUAGCCGGCCUGAGAGGGUGACCGGCCACACUGGGACUGAGACACGGCCCAGACUCCUACGGGAGGCAGCAGUGGGGAAUAUUGCACAAUGGGCGCAAGCCUGAUGCAGCGACGCCGCGUGAGGGAUGACGGCCUUCGGGUUGUAAACCUCUUUCAGCAGGGAAGAAGCGAAAGUGACGGUACCUGCAGAAGAAGCGCCGGCUAACUACGUGCCAGCCGCCGCAGUAAAAC